rnacentral:lncRNA from 1 species
ACGGGCGUAUGACAUUUGCGCCGAUUUUGAAAAUUUUCAUUCUUUCAUUUGCGCCGAUUUCAUUUUUUCAUUUGCGCCGAUUUUAUAUUUUUCCUAAUUGGAUUUACAGGUAAGUUACAGGUAAGUUUAUACUUUUAUAUUGGCUGAGCACAGAGUAUAAAGACAAAUCAAGUGACAUUGCAAUUGGUAAAUGGCUAUCCCAAUGUUUCAGGUUACCAUUCCUUUCCCUAAAUGAAAUCGAUGACUGCUUCACGUUUGACAUUGUCUGACGCUCCGCUCCUUCUGAUGACAAAUGUCAUACAUUCUUAGACAACGUGCAAGUACACAUUCCAUAACGGUCAACUAAUUCGCCAAAUAUAGAAGAUGCGAAAUCAUAAGAAAGGAAUAUAUUAGAUGUGUUGCCUAAACAUACUCGGUAAGAACAGAUUUAUGAUUUGAAUGUAUUCCGAUUUUAUGGAUUUGAAUGCUGCACAUAUAUUUUUAAUUGGUCAUUUAAGUAUAAACAAAGUGCUUAAAAUUAUCUUAGGUUUUUACUUCUUGAUUUUAAGCAGGAGACAACAGUUUUAUACAUGUUAUGAUUGACAAUUCAUAACAUAUGUACAACUGGCUAACAGAAGAGGUCUUUAAUGAUAAAUGAAAAUAACAUUACUGGGAUGGAGAGUUGUCUCAUUGGCACUCAUACCACAUCUUCUUAUAUCAUUUCAUCUGUAAUUUACCUGUUAUUUACCUGUUAAAAAAAAUCGGCGCAAAUGAAAAAAAAAAUCGGCGCAAAUGAAAGAAAAAAUCGGCGCAAAUGAAAUGCAGAUCGGCGCAAAUGCAAAACGCCGAGAUG